GGGAAGAGAUUCUGCCUGACUGACUUUUCUUAGGGCAUCUACUUCGGAAAACUGGUCAGCUCCUCCUCUCUUUGAAAUGUAGAUGAAUCUUUCUAAAAAAGCUUAGUAAGCUUCAUACCACCUUUGUGACCCACGAGGUUCCUUCUCAAUAAUCUGGGAACCAUUUUUUUUUUUAAAGUAAUCUCUGCAACCAGUGUGAGUGGGGCUUGAACUCAAGACCCCAAGAUCAAGGGUUGCAUGCUCUACCGACUGUGGUAGCUAUCUCUGAAAUGGAACCAUUCUGGAAGACAGCACCCAUCGCCCAGUUUCGAUGGGAAGGCAGAAGCCUCACUUCCACAACCAGCCUCGCACAGAUGCCUUGCUCCCAAACUACCUCCUGCCAUUUGAUUGCCCUAUGGAUAAAGCCAAUAAGUUAGCACAGAUGGUCACCCCAACUGCUAAACGAAUGCAGGAUGACCUGAGCGUGACAGAUGAAGCGGCCACGUCUGCUCUCUGGGAGAUAGUUACUGCGUAUCAAUGGACUGUAUCUGCUUGGCUAAACAAAAAGGUGGUGGCCUAG
rnacentral:lncRNA from 1 species